CUCCCGUGGUGCCCCCAGCCCAGACCCCGCCAGCAGCCCCUCGCGUGUCGCCCCGUCGGUGGCGUGGCAGGCGUGGCGGGCGGUGCGGCGGGGACGUUCUGCAGCAGCCGUCCCCUUCCAGACGCGACGAGGGACUGGCGGACCCUCAACGGACCCACCGCGGGACGUCAGCACCCACGGAGGCGAUGCGACGUCCCCCACCUUCCGUGUGCCUCAGAGCCUCCACACAACCAACAGGAAGGGGACGCCUCAGGGCAGCAGCGUGGCUGGAAGGGAAGAUACAGCGGUAUUCAGUUACUGAAGUGGACAUUUGGGGAGUCUGUCCCUGUCCAGUACAAGUGAGCUGCUGAACAAACCUGCUGCUCCUCAGGUGUAAAGUCACCGCCAAGUGGCUUAAAACUACCCACAUGCUGUCCUGAAGACCACCCAUCAACCCGGACUCUAGAGGAAACCGUCAAGGUGAAUCAAGAAGGAGUGUCGGGGGCAGCAUGAGCCAAGAGAAGCACAUGGGGGACUUAUUGCAUUACAUCACCGUGCAGGGCAAGCAGCUGUGAAGGGCUGAAUGUUUGCAAAGGUUACCUAACUAGUUUACUACUAUGGGUUUCAGAGGCCGUGUUCCCUUGUUUAUCAGGAAUAACUCUGCAACAAAGGGUUGUAUCAGGUUCAUACUUUGCCGGAUUGUUUCAGACCUCUCGCUAAUUUUUGUCACUAUCGUUAAUUUCCUUAACUUAAAAUUCUGCAUUGAAGAGCUGUCCUCCGGCAUGAAUGUAUCGUGACGUCGCUGUGACGUCAUUCCCUCGGCUCUGCCCCAGAAUUACUAUCACCUCGCUGACAGGUGAUCCCACCGCUCCUGCCCCUGACAGUAUUACUGUAUUCAUACAGCAUUAUCAAGAUAGCAUAUUGAUAUUUAGGAAACGUGACCCUGCCAAAGUGUGCAUGAGAAGCCUCAAAAUUAGAUCACUCGGUCAAUCAACUGGGCACAUGCCGUGGAGCAGCGUUGCCUCACCCACACUACAACGCCACUCACAGGGGUUUCCCCAAGUGAAUCCCCAUGCAGGCAGCCUUCCCAUGCCAUGUUUCUACUGGCAGGAAACAGAGUAAACUCUGCUUAUAAUAAGAUAGAGAGCAAAAUAAAAUACUUCAUAAAUAAUCCCUCUGGCUUGAGCUGUCUACUACUCCUGUAAGUUCAUUUGAACUGAAUUUUCAUAUAGUGUUUCAGAACAAGCUCACUUACUCGACACGAAGCCAGAGACAUUGCUUUGAUGCAUUUCAUAAAAUGAGACAUUGUUGCACAAAUUAUCAUGUGCAUAGAGUAGUGCAUAAAUAUUUUCACUUUUCUACUUCAACUCCUCAUAAUUCUCCUUCAUAAUUCCUGCAUUGUUGCUCGCAUUGAGUUUUCAUUUAUUGCGUGUCAGAGCCUGGGAAGUGACGUCACAGCGACAUCACGAUACAAUCAUGCUGGAAGACAGCUCUUCGACGCGGAAUUUUACAUUAUGUAAGGAAAGGAAGUGCCUUAAUUAUUUACUUUUGUUAAUAAACAACAAUGACAAAAAAUUAGCGAGAGGUCUGAAACAAUCUUACAAAAUAUGAAUCUGAUCACCCAUUGUUACAGAGUUAUUCCCAAAAAACACGGGAACACGGCCACUGAAACCCAUAGCAGUUGACUAUCACAAGUUGUUUAGGAAUCUGAAGAGACUCCCAUGGCAAACUAAGAUCAGUUCACGGGAAAUAUCUGAUACUAAUUAAUAA